rnacentral:rRNA from 1 species
AUUGAACGCUAGCGGCAGGCUUAACACAUGCAAGUCGAACGAGUGGCGGACGGGUGAGUAAUAUAUGGGAAAGUGCCUGGUGGAGGGGGAUAACUACUGGAAAGAGUAGCUAAUACCGCAUACUAUAGGAGGGGCCGAUAUGGGAUUCGCUAAUAGGUGGGGUAAUGGCUCACCAAGGCAACGAUCCGUAGCUGGUUUGGGAGGAUGACCAGCUAACUGGGAACUGAGACACGGCCCAGUCUCCCACAGGAGGCAGCUGUGGGGAAUUUGGUACAAUGGGGGAAACCCUGAGUCAGCCAUCCCGCGUGUAUGAUGAAGGCCUUCGGGUUUUAAAGUACUUUUGGCAGAGAAGCGGUAUCUGCAGAAUAAGCACCGGCUAACUCCGUGCCAGCCGCCGCGGUAAUAC